rnacentral:rRNA from 1 species
AACGAACGCUGGCGGCAGGCUUAACACAUGCAAGUCGAACGCGUGUAGCAAUACACGAGUGGCGCACGGGUGAGUAACACGUGGAUAUCUGCCUUUUGGUUCGGAAUAACUCCGGGAAACUGGAGCUAAUACCGGAUGGUUCCUUCGGGAUAAAGAUUUAUCGCCAAAAGAUGAGUCCGCGCACGAUUAGCUAGUUGGUGAGGUAAUGGCUCACCAAGGCGACGAUCGUUAGCUGGUCUGAGAGGACGAUCAGCCACACUGGGACUGAGACACGGCCCAGACUCCUACGGGAGGCAGCAGUGGGGAAUAUUGGACAAUGGGGGCAACCCUGAUCCAGCCAUGCCGCGUGAGUGAUGAAGGCCCUAGGGUUGUAAAGCUCUUUCAACGGUGAAGAUAAUGACGGUAACCGUAGAAGAAGCCCCGGCUAACUUCGUGCCAGCAGCCGCCGUAAGAC